AUUCUCUGGAGUUCAGCUAUCUAACUACACAGACCUUUCAACACACUCUCAGCAGUUUAAGAGAUCAUGUAAGUGUGACCAGCUAUGUUCAGAUGCCCUAACAUCCUACAACCUUGUCAUCUGCAGAGCGAAACGGUCACGCACUCACACCAAAUUGUAAUACCAGGCAGAUAGAGA